GUGCCUCAGUUCGUUCCCAGACAACUCACCCAUAUUAGAACCGGGAUUCAACUGAGUCAAUUCAGGCUGAGUUGAAAUUGGUUUCACAGGGAAGAGGAAAACCCGGAUGCGAGAGGGGGAGAGGCGGUGGUGCUCAUCAAGCAUAAUAAGGAGGUCCUCGUCUGUGGAAAGGGAGAUAAGCGAGUCAAGGUCGUGAUUGGGAAGCUGGUACUUUAGAGUAAAAGGGUUGCUG
rnacentral:misc_RNA from 1 species